rnacentral:rRNA from 1 species
GACGAACGCUGGCGGCGUGCCUAAUACAUGCAAGUCGAACGCAGUGGGGACGGGUGAGUAAAACGUGGGUAACCUCCCAUCAGAGGGGAAAACACUUGGAAACAGGUGCUAAACUGAUACUGAUGGAGGGACCCGCGGUGCAUUAGCUAGUUGGUGAGGUAACGGCUCACCAAGGCCCCGAUGCAUAGCCGACCUGAGGGGGUGAUCGGCCACACUGGGACUGAGACCCGGCCCAGAUUCCUACGGGAGGCAGCAGUAGGGAAUCUUCGCAAAGGGACGAAAGUCUGACCGAGCAACGCCGCGUGGUUGAAGAAGGUUUUCGGAUCGUAAAACUCUGUUGUUAGAGAAGCGGUAUCUAACCAGAAAGCCACGGCUAACUACGUGCCAGCAGCCGCGGUAAUAC